AUUGAGUUCCUCCACAACCAAACAAACCCAAGUUACAUAGUUAAUACAGUUGAAAAAAGACACAAGUCCAUCAAGUUCAACCAAGGGAUAGGUGGGGACGUGAAUCCCAGAAGGAAGUGAGGCUUAGAUUUCUACACAUUCUCACAAG